rnacentral:lncRNA from 1 species
AUGAUUUCUUUUAAGUCAUUCACCUGCACUGUAUCUGUUUCCUCAACUGUAAAAUAUGGGUCUGUAGAAGAAAGCAGAUGGGGAUACCAGUUGGAUCGGGGCCAAUCUCUACGCCACCUUACGGCCUCGAUUCCUUUGGAAGUUUCGACCUUGACGCAAAGAAAAGCGCCUUUAAAGCUGUUGGUCUCUCUUCCUUUUCCCUGUGAAAGACUGCCGCUGUUAGUUCCUGCAUGCUCUUUUCUGCCUGCCAUGUCCGUUGCGUUCUGCGCUUCUGCGUUCUCUUGAAGGGAUUUCAGACUUUUUACCUCCACGCUCCCACUUUCCAUCAACUUCAAGCUUUCUUCGUCCUGGAACGGCUGUCGCAGAUCUCGGUAACGUCUUCACGCACGCAGCACUUGGUGGCAGGCUAGCGGUGAGGCAGCUCUCGCUGCCUGCUUGCUUUGGCUGCUUGCUGAUGGCUUCCUCCGUGCGGGAGAGCACGUCUGCUCACGCGGGGUUGUCCUGCGCUGAGACUGCCUGCUCCCUCUGCCAAAAUAGGUUUGUGAACAAGAGCCAGUGUUUGCUUCUGAGGAUUCGUUGCCUUCUGUCCC